rnacentral:rRNA from 1 species
GUCGAGCGGUAGAGAGAAGCUUGCUUCUCUUGAGAGCGGCGGACGGGUGAGUAAUGCCUAGGAAUCUGCCUGGUAGUGGGGGAUAACGUCCGGAAACGGACGCUAAUACCGCAUACGUCCUACGGGAGAAAGCAGGGGACCUUCGGGCCUUGCGCUAUCAGAUGAGCCUAGGUCGGAUUAGCUAGUUGGUGGGGUAAUGGCUCACCAAGGCGACGAUCCGUAACUGGUCUGAGAGGAUGAUCAGUCACACUGGAACUGAGACACGGUCCAGACUCCUACGGGAGGCAGCAGUGGGGAAUAUUGGACAAUGGGCGAAAGCCUGAUCCAGCCAUGCCGCGUGUGUGAAGAAGGUCUUCGGAUUGUAAAG